rnacentral:misc_RNA from 1 species
UCACUAGGAAACUGCUUCCGUCUGU